ensembl:lncRNA
GGAUUUCUGUGGCUUUGUGCUCCCUUACACUUGGCCAGACGUUUCAGGAAAAAAGUUCCCAAAAUUCCAUUCUCCAAACUCUACAUCUGUAAGCAGGUUGUGUCACUUCAGUUCCUGACAGCUAUUGCUGGACUUGCUGUCACACUUGCUGAAGAUUACAGACCGAUGAAUGACUCAUUGGAUUAUAAAAAAAUCCUGCUGUGCUUUAUGUUAAUCUUGUGCUGUUUGGAGUCCCUUUGGCUUUGGUGAUGUUAAUCCAGGAAGCUGUUCAAUGCAAGGAGAGAGCCGUCGAUUCUGCAAGCCUCUCUCUGUUCUGGCUGCUGUUGGUCAUCUGCGAUAUCUUUCCUCUCC